GACGUAGGGGGCGAGCGUUGUCCGGAUUUAUUGGGCGUAAAGCGUGCGUAGGCGGCUGCGCAAGUCGGUUGUGAAACCCCGGGGCUCAACCCCGGAACUGCAUCCGAUACUGCGUGGCUAGAGGUAGGUAGGGGAGAUCGGAAUUCCUGGUGUAGCGGUGGAAUGCGCAGAUAUCAGGAGGAACACCGGUGGCGAAGGCGGGUCUCUGGGCCGAUACUGACGCUGAGGAGCGAAAGCGUGGGGAGCAAACAGG
rnacentral:rRNA from 1 species